rnacentral:lncRNA from 1 species
GAAGACCCAGAACCUGGAUGAUUUACGUUCUACUUCAUUUCCCAGUGACACUUGGAGCUCUGAGACAGAUAAACUGAUACAACGUGGAGCUGCCUGAGCCCCUCCUGGACCAUGCUUCAAAUGCAGCAGAAGGACAUUGGGCAGGAGAGUGCCUCAUCCUGGUGUUGCUUUGGGGCCUUGCCCCAGGGCUACUGGACUGUCCUAGCCACCAGAGAGUGGUCUAACAUGUGGGCAUUCACCAGUGAUAAAGUUGUCUUGGUUAAAACACCUGGCACCAGCUUCUACAUGGACAUCAACUAUCAUCCUGUCGACCUUCCUAAACCCCAGGACAGCGCCCCCUUCCAGCAGGAAGUAGUAGAAGAAAGAAAAACUCUGCCCUUUUUCCUAAUAAUAUAAAAAUGGGAAUGAAAGGAUUUUGCCCUAAAUGAGAUGCUGUAGCAGUGGGAGGCGCUGGGAGGCAAAAAGUCAUCUUCCCUGCCCCUAAGCAAUUUUUUUUUGUCUUUUUGAGACAGGAUCUCACUAUGCAGUUCAGGCUGGCCUUGAGCUCACUUUGUAGCCCAGGCUGGUCUUGAACUCGCAACGAUCCUCCUGCCUCAGCCUCCCGAGUGCUGGGAUUACAGACGUGAGCCACACGCCUGGAAACCCCUAAGAAAUUUAUCUGUGGCACAAAAUGAAUUACAAUGGGCUACCUGUGCAUCAGUAAUGCCCCUUAGGCUCCCCCAAACCUAAGCUAUGUGUAUGCCCCCACUCCACAUGUCUGGCAGAGAGAAUGCCAGACAUCAGUGGUCGGGGUGUUCUCUCUCUGUAUUCUUAAAAUAAAGGCCACUUUACUUUACAUUCUGUCUUCUAACCGCGCCAAAACCUCUUUCACUUACUAUGUCCGUACUCCCGCCUGAAGGAGGAGAAAACACGAAAAGGAGGUCUUCCUUCAAGGGCUUGUUCCAGAAACACAAAUCUCUUCUGCUCAUAUGCCGUUAACCACAGCCUGGUCACGUGCCCAUGUCUGCUGCAAGGAAUGCUGAUUAAUACAGUCUCCAUCUUGGAUCACCUCAUUCCCA